UAUGGUUCUUAGAUUAGAUAAGACUACCCGCUGAAUUUAAGCAUAUAACUAAGCGGAGGAAAAGAAACUAACAAGGAUUCCCCUAGUAACGGCGAGUGAAGCGGGAAGAGCUCACCAUGUGAAUCUCUAUAACCAGCAAUGGUAUAGCGAAUUGUGGUCUGGAGAAGUAUUGUCGGCCGUGAAUCCGGGCCAAGUCUCUUGGAAAAGGGCAGCUGAGAGGGUGAAACUCCCGUUCUUGCCUGGAAUCAUUGCGCUCUGGCACAUGCUUUAUACGAGUCGAGUUGUUUGGGAUUACAGCUCAAAGUAUGUCGUAACUUCGAUAUAAAGCUAAAUAUUGGUGGGACACCGAUAGUGUACAAGUACCGUGAGGGAAAGAUGCAAAGAACUUUGAAAAGAGAGUUAAAGAGUACCUGAAAUUGUUAAAAGGGAAGCGAAGGAAACCAGUGUUUGGCGAAUCCAUUCUUCCCAAGCUACUUGUAGUUUGGGCGCUGUGGUUAGCAAUAGUCAGCAUUGGCUUAAUGUGGGUCAAACGUUUGGUGGGUAGGCGGCUCUUCGGAGUUAGUGCCCAUCUUUCAUGCUCUGGAUUGGGCUGAGGUCAGUCACUCUGUGCUCGUGAAGCUGGCAAAAUGGUUUUCUUUACCCCGUCUUGAAACACGGACCAAGGAGUCUAA
rnacentral:rRNA from 1 species